rnacentral:rRNA from 1 species
CAGCAGUGAGGAAUAUUGGUCAAUGGACGAGAGUCUGAACCAGCCAAGUAGCGUGAAGGAUGACUGCCCUAUGGGUUGUAAACUUCUUUUAUAUGGGAAUAAAGUGAGCCACGUGUGGCUUUUUGUAUGUACCAUACGAAUAAGGAUCGGCUAACUCCGUGCCAGCAGCCGCGGUAAUACGGAGGAUCCGAGCGUUAUCCGGAUUUAUUGGGUUUAAAGGGAGCGUAGGCGGACUAUUAAGUCAGCUGUGAAAGUUUGCGGCUCAACCGUAAAAUUGCAGUUGAUACUGGUCGUCUUGAGUGCAGUAGAGGUAGGCGGAAUUCGUGGUGUAGCGGUGAAAUGCUUAGAUAUCACGAAGAACUCCGAUUGCGAAGGCAGCUUACUGGACUGUAACUGACGCUGAUGCUCGAAAGUGUGGGUAUCAAACAGGAUUAGA